UUCUAAACUUUUAAUUACAUAUGAGUAAACAUAUUAAUUCAUCACAUAGUUCAAGUAGUUCUUAAGAGGAUAAUCUAAUAUCCUAAUCUUUAGAUACAUUAUAAUAAUUACAAACAUUGCAAAAGAGUUAAGAAAUGUAUAGGGAUGAAAUGUGGUCUUCAAUCUUGCUUACAAGAAAUGAAUCCUAAGUCUUCAUCCUUCAUAAAUGCUCCAAUAAUAAUUUUUUCUUCCAAAAUUCAGAACCCUUUCACUGAUUUAACAAUUUUCUUUUACAGAAAAAUUAGGGACACAUGUGCUCGCCUCGUGGAUAGAACCACUUGCCUCGCGAGUUUGAAAAUAGACACCUGACACUUUGUCAUUGGAAACCCAGUCGCGAGGCAGGUCAAAUCGCUCACGAGGCGAAUAAGGCAAGGAGUAGAGGCUGAACAUCACGAACAAACUCACCUCGCGAACAUUCACACUCGUAAGCCAGAUGAAACAUAAAAAAAAAAUAGCUGUCACCUAUUUCUUCACAAUUCAUCAAAAUUUAAAACUCUUUGCAAAGCUAAGCUAAAACUUUAAUGAAAAUAUAAAAAAUCUAUCUAAAAUCUCUAUAAACACAUAUUCAAGUCAUCUCGCAACCGAUGUGGUACUUCUUAAUAGUUACGACAGUGAGUCAUCACAUGCAUUUACAGAUAUUAUCAAUGCAUAACCCUAUUCGGGGAGGGUGACAAUAACCUAUACAAUGCCAAUCUUUCUUACAUUUCCCAUUAACUGCUGCAAUUUAAAACAAGAAUAAAUAAAUGUGUGUUACUGAAUUAGCAGAUAGAUUUGCAGGUUCCUAAACUAUUUAAGGAUAAGAAAAGGUCUUACGUACCAACGCUGGUUACAACAAGAAAUAUGUAAAAGAGAAUAAUAGCCUUAAAAAACUUGAUAAUUUGUGCCAUAUGUUUCCACGUUCUGCAAGUAAUUAACAAAUUGAAAAUUGUUUAAUUAAUCACUAGAAUUUAUACUGUAAAAUCCUAUGUAUUCAAUAUUGUUCAAUUAAUUACUUUAUAGUAGCUCUUUG
rnacentral:lncRNA from 1 species